AACUAACUCCGACAUGACCUCUAAUUCUGA
rnacentral:piRNA from 1 species